rnacentral:rRNA from 1 species
GUACACUCCUGCGGGAGGCAGCAGUGGGGAAUAUUGGACAAUGGGCGCAAGCCUGAUCCAGCCAUGCCGCGUGAGUGAUGAAGGCCCUAGGGUUGUAAAGCUCUUUCACCGGUGAAGAUAAUGACGGUAACCGGAGAAGAAGCCCCGGCUAAUUUCGUGCCAGCAGCCGCGGUAAUACGAAGGGGGCUAGCGUUGUUCGGAUUUACUGGGCGUAAAGCGCACGUAGGCGGACUAUUAAGUCAGGGGUGAAAUCCCGGGGCUCAACCCCGGAACUGCCUUUGAUACUGGUAGUCUUGAGUUCGAGAGAGGUGAGUGGAAUUCCGAGUGUAGAGGUGAAAUUCGUAGAUAUUCGGAGGAACACCAGUGGCGAAGGCGGCUCACUGGCUCGAUACUGACGCUGAGGUGCGAAAGCGUGGGGAGCAAACAGGAUUAGAAACCCUUGUAGUCCCAUGA